GCAAGUGUGGCAUAGUGGUUUGAGUAUUUGACUGGGACUCUGGGAGACCAGGGUUCAAAUCCCUGCUUGCC
rnacentral:tRNA from 1 species